CUUGUCAUAGACGAUCUUUGGCCGUGACGCGGCUGCUGUCAUUAAGGGAAACUACGCUAGCAUCUUCUUUUUUUCGGAUGAGAUAUCGACGCUUCGCAAUGACUAAUGGCCCACCUAUACCUUUGUAAAUCACCAUCGUCUGACACCUGUAGUCUGGCUAGUGGGAGAUGAGACACUGUUGUGCAAGGACCCAUCAUGAGUAUCCAGAGCCUAGGAGGAGCAUUAGGGGAGUCCCUGGGCUCUAGCCUUACAGUACGCAUGAGUGGGGCAGGUGGUGGGCGGAGUUCUUUCGCCUUAAAAUCGUCAAGUCGGAUCACUUCGCUUCUCCAAACAAUGGUGCCAACUGGGUACAACAAACUCCAGGAGGAGCGUCUGGCUAUGGUGGACCUCGGAGCUAAACCUGAGGCGACCUCGCUCCAGAACGGCUACAGACAAGAAGCACCGCCUCACCUAGAAAGCCGACGGCUGCUGGACCGCGCAUCUCGGUCCUCUGUGACUUUAUCAGACUCUGGAGAUGGGAGCUACUCAGAAAUGGUGCCCAUGUUGGCAGAGAGGAGACUGUCUGGAGAGGAGGCUGAUGAGGAUGAAGAUGAGGAGGAGGAAAGACUGGAAGCGCCGGUGCAUAUCCUGCCCAAGGAGUCGCCUCUUGCUAUGGCUUUGCAGAUCAUCGUGCCUUUCCUGCUGGCUGGCUUUGGAACUGUAUCAGCUGGCAUGGUGCUGGACAUUGUGCAGCACUGGGAGGCGUUCCAGUACAUCACAGAGAUUUUCAUCCUGGUUCCGGCUCUGCUUGGCCUCAAGGGCAACCUGGAGAUGACGCUUGCCUCACGCCUCUCCACGGCGGUGAAUGUGGGCAAGAUGGAUUCUCCAAUAGAGAAGUGGAAUUUAAUAAUAGGCAACCUGGCGCUCAAGCAGGUUCAGGCCACUGUGGUGGGUUUCAUGGCAGCUGUUGCAGCUGUGGUUCUUGGCUGGAUCCCAGAGGGGAAGUUCCAGAUGAGCCACGCCGUGCUGCUGUGCUCCAGCAGUGUAGCCACGGCUUUCAUCGCCUCCAUGCUGCAGGGUUUCAUUAUGGUGGGCGUGAUUGUGGGUUCCAAGAAGACAGGCAUUAACCCGGACAACGUUGCCACACCUAUUGCAGCUAGUUUUGGUGACCUCAUAACCUUGGCCAUCCUGGCUUGGAUAAGCCAAGGCCUCUACAAGUGCCUAGAUACCUACCCAUAUGUGUCAUCCGUGGUCUGUGCCUUCUUCAUGUGUCUGACCCCUUUGUGGAUGGUCGUCUCCUCCAAGCACCCGGCCAGCCGCACCCUGCUGUACUCCGGAUGGGAGCCUGUCAUCACUGCCAUGGUCAUCAGCAGCAUCGGAGGACUCAUCCUGGACAAGACGGUGUCUGACCCCAAUCUGGCUGGAAUUGUUGUGUACACUCCGGUAAUCAAUGGUAUCGGGGGUAACUUGGUGGCGAUUCAAUCCAGCCGGUUUUCCACUUGCCUGCACUUCCACUGCGCCCCUGGGGAAGUUCCUGAUGAGGUCAAGGGCUGUUACUACCCUUGUCGCACGUUCUGUGGCACAGGAGCCAAUCACAGAUCUGCUCAGGUUCUUCUUCUUUUGGUGAUCCCCGGUCAUGUCAUUUUCCUCUACACCAUUCACCUGAUGAAGAGCGGGCACACUACCCUGACACCUAUCUUUAUGUCUGUCUACCUGGCUGCUGCACUGCUGCAGGUGUUGCUGCUGUUGUGCAUAGCUGACUGGAUGGUACAUUCCAUGUGGCGGAGCGGCAAAGACCCGGACAGUUUUUCCAUUCCCUACCUGACGGCUCUGGGGGACCUGCUGGGCACCGCCUUGCUGGCGCUCAGCUUCCACUUCCUGUGGCUCAUCGGCGACCAGGACAGUGAUGUAGGCGACUGAAAGCGAGGCCUGACGCCAUCUGACUUCUGGUACCCUGAUGCCUUGUGGGGGACAAGGUUCUUUGCUUUUUUUACUCUCCAUGAACAAGACGCAACGCUAUUCCAGACUUUUUCCAUGAAGACCUUUGCACCUUUUGCACCAAAGCAUUUCCUUUCCAUGAGGAGAUCUGUUGGAACUAUCAGUCAAAGGUUCCCUAUUUCACAGGAAUCAUUGAUGGCUUGUCCUCAUUUUUGGAGUUUCUACCUGCCUUGUUGGAGCGUCAAAGUUAGAUGUAAAGGUCAGAAUUUCCAAAUAAGAUGAUAAUUCUCGCUGAUAUUUUAGUCAGGAGAUUACUAAUGAGACACAUGGCGAUGCUGAUUAGCCUACAAUUUAAUUCACAUUGAAUUGAAUCAUGUUUGGUCUAAAGAAAGGGUUUCCAAAGUGCGGCCUAUGGGCCAUUUGCAGCCCACAGCUCGUUUAUCAUUGGCCGGUAUACUAAAGGUACAACUAAACAUGACAUCACAGAAAGUUUCAAUGUUAAGAGUUAUAAUACUUAUAAUAAUACGCUUUGUUACCUAUAACACAUAUUACAUGCGUUGGUUUUAGUUUGUUUAAUACAUUUAAAAUAUCAAAAUGGUGUCUGAAUCCCUUGAAUUCAGUAUGUGCUCCUCCGUGGAAAAGGUUUGGACACCACUGCCCUAAGGCCUCAUUCGUCACCUCUUUGUAUUCAUUACAAACCUUUUAUUGUCUACAGUGCAGCAAAUGGGAUGAAGGCCUUGAACUGCCUCGUAUUUUUUCAUUUGCCAUGUUGCUUCUACCGAGGUAAAAAAAAAAAAAAAAAAAAGGGAACAGAAGCACCUUAAAUUGUCAAAUUAUAGCCAGGGUGUUCAGUUCCUUAAACGGCAUUAUUCAUUGGAAUUGGGUGAUGAUUGGAGAGAGGCAUUUCAAAACUCAGCAUAUUUAACAACUUCAUUUUUUAAACUUGGAUAAUGAUUUGCAUUGCAGGGAAAAGUGGAAAGGGACACUUAGCUCUCUUUAUUUGACUUACUAACAAGUAUAUUACACAACACAGCAAAAACAGAAUCAGUGUUACACGCAUGACAGCUGAGUAGCGCAAGUGACAUUUUCUAGCGCCUGCAGAGGUAGAUAAAGCUGCUCAUGAGACUUCAAAUGCAGGUACUCCUGUCUUGAGGACCAGCUAACCCGACUGUUAUUUGCUUUUUUAGUACUAUAGGAUUUGAAUUGAAUUGAACAUUAUUAUUAUUAUUAUUAUUAUUAUUAUUAUUAUUAUUGAACAUUUACAGCGGUGGUUCUCAACUGGUUUAGUUGCGGGACCCACCAUCCAAAUUCCCAAAUUAUGAAAUUUUUUAAAACUCAAACCUCUCAAAUAUCUUCUAUUUGAAGGGACUAUUUGCAACACGCCGUGAGCUGCAGCGGUGAGAUGCUGUCCUCUCUUCAUGGUGCGCUCUUCUCCAGCAGAUAUCUGCAGCUGUGUGUCAGUAGGGACCCGCUCGAUGACUUUCCCCUCCUGCUCAAGCUUGACAACGUUGUAAAUAGCACAGAGACGCAUUCGUGGAUAUCAGGUCACUACAUUUUUUUCAUUUGAAAACGGCUUCACCACCCACUUUUGGGUCCCAACCCACCAGUUGAGAAUCACCGAUUUACAGUAUUUAGUUUUGUUACUAAUCAUAUAUUUUAAACUCUUUUCAGCAUCUCUAAGUGGGUUUGGGGAGGGUGCCAAUCGAGAGAUUAUAACGCAUUUGACUAAAAGUAAUACUUUAUGGGUGUAAAUUAUUCCACAAUAGACACCUUUAGAGGUGGGCUAGUCUGUUUCUGUACUCUGACUUAACACACCAGCAUACACCCAGCGUUACAUGCAGGCAGUAUUUCUCCACUGUGUGGAUGUGGCUUGUGAUAUACAAAAAUUGUUGGUCUGCACUGUACUUCUCUGAGCAAUCAAGUGAGAUGUUUGAUGAAUGCAGUACAGGAUUGGUCAUUGUGGCACACAUUAAGUGGAUUGUUUACACAUGCAUUGUGAUGACAUGCAUGCAGUUCUCAUUUCCAUGUCAGCAUGAUGUGAUCAGACUGAAAUGUCAGUGUUAGCGUUGCUAUAUUCUUGCUCUACGGUGCGCUUUGUACAGUAUGUCUCAUUCAAGUUAAGUGUUGUGUGUGUGACGGGGACAGCAAGCAGUACUUCUCUUCAAUUCCAAUAUGUGCCUCUUGAGACUGACUGGUUGACAAGGUGUUUUUGCCAUGAUGUGAAUUUAUUUUCUUCCAUUUUUUUUUUCUUCUUUCAGUCCCAAGUGUUGUUCGUUUCAUGCUAGAGCUGGCAAAGCUACCGACAAAGUAGCAGAUGUCACUAUAUGGUGGAUGCACGGUCUGUGCCACAUCCUCCUCAUGCAUAUUUCAUCUCUCCGACGGCUGGCAGUCAACCUGAUGGCGACCUCUGACCCCACCUACGCACUACCACCGCCAGCGUCCUCUGUCUUUUACACCGACAGUAUCUGAAAUGUGGAAGGGGGAAGAUGGAUGGAGGUAGUGCAGAGGACAGAUGAGUCAGCCUGUACGAGGUGCUCGGUAAAACGCCAGUCGAUUUGUCUUUAUGUGGGUGGUCCUCAUUGGCAUUCAGCUACGCUGCCAGAAGGAACAACAGUGUUACAGUAAUACAAAAGUAUCGGGACACCUGACCCAUACACCAACUUGCUUCCAAGUCUGCGAUGUGUGAGAAACACUUGUUACGCCACCUUUUAACUACAGUGAAAUACAGACGAGCAUUUUGGGUCCUAUCAUGGGUGGAAUGUCACUCAGUAUAGCAUAGGCUGGGGGGGGCCAAAGCAGGGCCGUUUUCGUCCCACGCCUCAUUUUUGGUGGCCCUCGGCAUAUUGUAAAACUAAAAUGAAUUCAGGGUGUUACACACCUGGACACCAAGGGUGUUUACCUUUUAUAUUUCACUUUCAAAACUGCUUUUUUCACUACAGCCUAACAACCGAGCUACAAGCUAACACAUGUUGUCCAAAGUGAGGCCCGGGGGCCAUUUAUGGCCCGUGACUGCUUUUUUUUUUUUUUCUUACUGGCCAUCGGCACAUUCUAAAAAUAGGAUUUAAACAAUAAAAUGUAAAAAAACAACAGCAAAAAUGGGGAAAAAAAGCAGUAUUUUUACAAGAAUAAAGACAAAAGGUUAAGGUAGUAAAGUCAUUAGAUUAAUAGAAAAAAGUUGAAAUAUUAUAGGAAAAAAGUUGUAAUAUAAGAAACAAACCAAAGAAUGAAGUUGAAAUUAAUUAGGAAUUAAUUAAUUAAGAAAUUAUGGGGUUAAUGCUGUAAUGCUAUGAUAAUAAAGUCAAAAUAUUAAGAGACUAAGUCAUAUUAGUAUGAGGGAAAAAACGUAGGAUAUAUAAUGUUGAUAUAUUUGUAAAAUUAAAAAAAAAAGGAGAAACAGUUCAAAAUAAUAAUAUCACUGAUAAAAUGAAUACAUUUACUUUAUAUGUGUAAAUAUAUUUAUACAUUAUAUUUUAUAUAAUGUAUAAAUAUUAUGUAUUUAUUUUUUAUAAUAUUUUUUUUGGGUUGGUUUAAAAAAAAAAAGUAAAAACAGCCCCCGCAUCUUGAUUUUUCAGUAUGCGGCCCUCAGUGGAAAUAGUUACAGUGUGUAUAGUUUAUGUUUCAUUUUGACAAAAGAGCCGACAUGUCCAAAAGUGUGGCCCGGGGGCCAUUUGUAGCCCAUGGCACAUUGUCAAAAAUGAAAUUUGAACCAAAAAACCCAGCAAAAAUGGGAUAAACAGAGCAAAAAAGAGGAAAAAAAAUGAAAUUUUGAUACUAAUAAAAACUUUUUGGGGCCUUUUUGCAAAAUUUUAAAUAUAUAUAUACAAAUAUUUGAAAAUCUAUACAAAAAAAUGUAUAUAAAAAUAUACAGAAAGUGGCCCCUAGCACAUUGGGCCUAACAUCCCAGUAGGGAGGAAAAAAAGUAAAAUGUAGUGCAAAACUUCAUAUAAUAAUUAUUUAUCUUCAAAGCCAGGCGAGGUACAAUUUGCAAACGAAGCACACAGUUAAUAAUGCGUCCCAUCCCAAAAUAAAUGUACCCGAAGAAAGCUGAAUAUAACUGAAGCGUCAGCGUCCCCUUCCCCCCUCUGCCGCCAAACGGCCGGCAACGCUUUCAUCGAUUGAUUGACUGAUGAUGAGCUUUUUUUUUCCCGCCGAAGGGAAAGCGGUGUCGUGUUUCAAUGCUUGUGCGCUUUCGCUUUCAAAUCGCGUGCCUUCCUGCAACGGAAAGCGCGCACACGUGAGCGCUAACGCGAUGACACAAUGACAACAUCACGGCGAAUAUUCCCGAUCGCACGUCUGGUUUUACUUGACGGGUUUACGCCGUAAAAAGACUCGUGUCCUUUGAAACAGAGCGCUUGCGUGGCUGCGUGGCACACACCGCUCACAAAUACUUCAUAAAAUACUUGAUAUAACACAAAGCCAAGGUGUUUUGUUCCAAUAGCUUAGCACAUAUCGACUGGUUUUAGCAUCUUUAUCUUUUAGCAUCUGUGUGCACAUGUGGUGCUGAUGAAUCCUUUUCCUGGGAGUAAAAAUAACGUCUUUUAGUUUUAAUGAACACUGACAAUGUGCAAUAACAGCAAUAAAUGUUUGAGGCAAAGGGGAAGAAAUGCCAAAAAGAAGGAUGCAAUGAAAUAGAAGCUCAUAUAGAAGGGGGCACGCUUUUUCCAUGCUGAGGUCAAGGGGAGUCUGUAAUGUUCCGGGUCUUGCUCGGGUCGCCGUGGGAUGGAUGUGGCGGUCUUCUUCUGAAUACACUUCACAGCAGCAUGGUUGUCGUCACAAGCUUGCUUCUCACAGUCAUGGGACAUCAUGACAAACAUGGUGGAAUGUGUGCAGUAUACAGUAUUUCUUUCUGCUAAAUAAAAUGUUGAUUGGUUUAGGGCAGGGGUGUCCAAAGUACGGCCCCCGGGGGCCAUUGGCGGCACGCGGGUGUGAUUUUAUCGGCCCGCCGCAGUCUAAAAAUGUAAUUUAACAAGGAAACUUUUAAAAAACCCAACAACAACGGCAGUAAAAAUGGGAAAAUUAAUCAAAAGUCAAAAUAUUGAGAGAAGAGUUGUAAUCUAGCACGGAAAAAAAGUCAUCAUUUCUCAACAAUAAAGUAAAAGUCUGAGGAAAAAUGACAUUUUAGCAGCAUGACAUUGAAACAUAACUUUUAUUUUUUUUUCUACGUCAAAAACAAUAAAUAAAGUUGCAAUUUUUGGAAACUUAGGUUGGGGGAAAAUUUAUAACAUGCGAAUAAAGUCAAACUAUCAUGAAAAUUAUACCAAAAACAGCAGUAAUUUUACCAAAGUAAAGUCAAAAUAUUAAGAGGAAAAAAUAAAAUUGGAAUUUGAAACAAGUUGCAAUUUUAUGAGAAUAAACUUGUUAAAUGAGGAAAAAUAUAAUUUUAGUAUGAAUGUUGAAAUAAAGGAAACAUACAUUAUUUUUUUUAAAGAUAUAAAGUUAUAAUUACGAGAAGAAAAUUUACAAGAGGAAACUUGAAAGAAAAUAGUUGGAAAAUUAAAAAAAUCAGCAGAAUUGUAAAAAACAGCUGUAAGUUUACGGGAAUAAAGUCAAAAUAUUAGUCAUAGUCGAAUGAAGCACAGAAGUGCCAAUUUUUACAGGAAUAAACUUGUAUUAUUAUUUUAAAAAACUAAUUUUGGUAGCAUUUCACCUACAUUACAGAUAUGUUACAAAGGUGAAAUGCAGUUUUUCUUGAACUACAGUACAUAUCGCUUCUUAGCACAUCUCAAUGUGUUGGCUUACAAAAUAUCAAAGUGGCCCUUGCAUCCUUUCAUUUUUCAGUAUGUGGCCUUUGCUGGAAAAAGUUUGGACACCCCUGGCUUAGGGUUUCACAUGAGCGGAUGACGCCUAAGCAUGUUUGCGGUCGUUAGCUUCGUGAACGUAUCUGCGCUGUUUGCACAAAAAGCAAGUCUGUGGUGAAAUCUUCUCCCAUUAUUUCUUUUUAUGUGAUGUUUUUGGCUGUUCUCCGCGCUUAACGGUGGGCCAUUAUGGCCUAAUGAGAGGGGCUGGGGGUCUUUGCAAUGAGCCCGCAGACGGAGAAGCUGCAACAAAGGCACCGCACUUUUAAUGAGCCUUGCUUGGAAGCCGCAGGUAAGCAACAUGACGAGCCACCAGAGACUAGCGUUACCGCACGUAGCCUCGUAAAUGUCAUCUAUCUGAUGGCGUAUGAAUAAUAGCAGAGGAAAUAUGACCGUUCAAGCGCGCUCAUGUAUGUGUUGAUAAUCCUCUUAGGAGCCAUGCUUUGACGUCCAUUGAUUUGAUUAAAUUCACACACAAGUUAAUCCCGGAGGUCACGGUGAAUGAUUGUCUGGUCUGCGUCACACCGAAUCAUCACAAAAGAUGGAGCACGGAGUUUAAAAGCGCUUCACGCUGCCACUUGUUCUCCAAUCCCUUCACUUUAGCCUUUUACUUGAUGCACGGGCACGAACACGUUAUCAAAACCUCUUCAAAGUUUAUUUGCCAAAAUGUCAAACUAAUCCUGGGUGUCCCGCUACAUAAUGGACAACAGUCACAGUGCCACUUUCUUCCCUCAUGUAGCGACAGUGCAGCACAUUGAACCACAGACUUAUUGGAUUCACGUAUCGUGUGCGGGUGGGGUUCCCAUUUUGCGCUCUUAUUACUGUUACUUUAUGGACAUCCGCUGUCCAUCUCACGUCCACAGAGACACGAAGAGACAGUCAUGAAGUCAGGAGGACCUCAGAGGGACACAAGCAAACACUUUUGACUUUAUUGCCAACGUCAAUGUCCAUCCAUCCGUUUUCUAUGCCGCUUAUCCUCCGACACCAAUGUUUAUUAUUUAAUUCUAUAUUCGUCUUUAUUUCAAUAUUAUUUUUUUUAAUUCACUUUCUGGUGGCCGUAAAUCAAGCUUGCUAAAAAAAAAAGGAAAAAAAAAAAAGAGUGAGAUUUUGCUUUUUUUUGCUGUCCACUGCCAAAAAAAGCAAAAAAAAAAAAAAAAAAA